GAGGACCUGCGGGGCUGUUGGCCCUCCGACCAAUCAGAGUGAAUGAGAGGCGGGACCUGAUUAUACCACGUCAUCAUCCUCUCGGACAGCGCGGCUGUGCGGGCGGAGAGCUGUCGCACAACCAGAGCUGGACAGAGUAUUCCAGAAGAGGCCUCCCAACAUCCAGUACAUCCUCAACAUAACGUCCCAACUCCUGUAUUCCAAGGUCUGAACAAUGAAGCAGCCUUUUGUGUGGCAACGUAUCAAAUACCUUCUGGAAAUCCAGGUACACCACAUCCACCGAGUCUGCCUUGUCCAAAGCACUCGUCGUAUCCUGAAAUAAUUCCAGUGAAUCCAUUAAACGUGACCUGCCUUUCACGAUUCCAUGCUGUGUCUGCGAAAUGAGACAAUUUCUACCCAGAUAUCUCUCCUCUACUUCCUUGAGAGAUUCAAGUAUUUUCUCCACUACAGAAGGAUGAGGCUGUCACUGGCUCGGCCAGCAUUUAUUGCUGCGUUUA